UGGCCCUCAUUUAGGGGAAGUGAGGUUUUUGUAAAAGAGCCGGGUAGAAGGGAACCACUGUGGUACAACUUCGGCAAGGGGACCCGGCUAGAGAUCAAACGCAGAGAAAAUGCUCAACCUUCAGCAUCCAUCUUUCCUCCGUCAGCUGAGCAGCUUAAAGGGGGAACUGCCACCAUCGUGUGCCUGGUCAGUGGCUUCUAUCCAAGUGCUUUGACCAUCACCUGGAAGGUAGACGGCACCGCCACUAGCACUGGUGUCCUCACCAGUGACAAGAAACAGGAUGCUGCUGACAACACGUACAGCGUGAGCAGCACCCUGACGCGCACAGCCUCCGAAUACAACGCGCACGAAGUCUACACCUGUGAGGUGACACACGAAACCUUGAAGACACCUCUUGUGAAGAGUUUCAAGAGGUCCGAGUGUUUGCAGUAGGAGGACAGCAGGGGAGGGUCCCUGUUUCCUUCUGGCAGCCUUUCUUAUGCUUUCUUUAUGAAACUAUCCUUCUUUUCCAUUUGUUUCCAUCCCAGUAUAUGAUGAUGGAGAUCUUCAUGACCUCCCGCCCUGCCUCACCCCUUGCUAAUUAUACCAUAUAACUGGGCCACCCUGCCUCCUCUCGCCCUAUUGCCUAACACUGUUUCCUGCUCUUAUCAUGUGUCAAGUAUGAAAAAUUCAUAAAUAAAUGGAACGAGUGAAAAGGCAUCUGUUUUCUCACUGUGUUUUUAAUGUGAUGAUCAAAAUAAAGUGAACUCAGGUGAA